GGGGGUGCACUGGCUUCGACGGGGGUCGCGAAAUCGCCUGGCGCAUGCCGAGGGGGUAGCUUUCCUCGUUAAUCCAGCUGCAAAACUCUAGUUGCCAACGACGACAACUACGCUCUCGCCGCUUAAGGCGUAAGCCCCGAACCCACUUGUGCCCGUGCUCGUGGAUGUAGGGUCAUUAUCACGGAACCGGUCGUGACGGCUGCCUGUCAGUCACGGCUUGAACAAAACAGGCUGGUGCCCCGAUGCGCUUUGCGCGCCGUGCUGUCGGGGGACGAGACCUAACGGAGCGCUAAGCAUGUAGUGCCGGGGAUGGAGUGCCUUCGGACGGGGGUUCGAUUCCCCCCACCUCCACCA
rnacentral:tmRNA from 1 species